UACGGAGGGGGCUAGCGUUGUCCGGAAUUAUUGGGCGUAAAGCGCGCGCAGGCGGUUCUUUAAGUCUGGUGUUUAAACCUGGGGCUCAACUUCAGGUCGCACUGGAAACUGGGGGACUUGAGUGCAGAAGAGGAGAGUGGAAUUCCACGUGUAGCGGUGAAAUGCGUAGAUAUGUGGAGGAACACCAGUGGCGAAGGCGACUCUCUGGGCUGUAACUGACGCUGAGGCGCGAAAGCGUGGGGAGCAAACAGG
rnacentral:rRNA from 1 species